UACGUAAGAGGCAAGCGUUGUCCGGAAUCACUGGGCGUAAAGCGCACGUAGGCGGCUUGGUAAGUCAGGGGUGCAAGCUUCAGGCUUAACCUGGAAAUUGCCUCUGAAACUACCUCGCUUGAGUGUCAGAGGGGAAACUGGAAUUCGCGGUGUAGCGGUGAAAUGCGUAGAUAUCGUGGAGAACACCCGUGGCGAAGGCGGGUUUCUGGCUGACGACUGACGCUGAGGUGCGAAAGCUAGGGGAGCGAACGGG
rnacentral:rRNA from 1 species